ensembl:lncRNA LINC01182 long intergenic non-protein coding RNA 1182
CCUGGGAACUUCUGGGGUGAAUGUGUGUGCUGAGCUCAAAUCAGAAUAUCUGCAGGAAAAAAAAAAAAAAAAAAGAAGAAGAAAAAGAAGAAGAAGCCAGACCAGGAAAGUGAAAGGAAAUGGAUAUCGCUGCUGGAGGCAACGACUAAUUUAAGCAGAGUAGGAGAAAAACUCUUUUUUUUUUUCCUUUGUGCCAGUUCCUUUUACACGACUUCAGAACAUUCUAUGACAACCCAGCGUGCAACUUGGCACUGUCAGAAGAGUCCUGGGAAAGAAAGGAAAUGCGCUUUGGGCUGCUGGAACCACAUUUCUUCAGAUAUCUCUGAGUAGUGCACAGACGGCAGGAUUCCAGACUCACUAUUCCUCUGCAAACAACCACUGGGUUUCUACAAGUUUAUCAGCCAUUUUGCAUGCACAAAUCUCUCCCUGGAGCCUUCAUCCUCUCCCGGUUAUCACUCACCAGUCUGUACUUUCUCAUGGGGUUGUCAACUAAUUCUCCUCUGCAGGCUCCUCACUUCCCUGUCAUUCCUUAAACUGCAGUGAUGCAGCCUUCCUCUGCCAUCAUGGCUCCACUGAAGAUGGCCUCACUGUGAUUAAUGAAGAACUAACUGCCAAAUUCACCGGACGCUUUUUAAUCCUUAUAUUAUAAAAAUCAAACAAUUGUAAGCAUUGUCAAACUCUUCCUCCUACUUGAAAUUCCUCUUGCUGAAUUCUGCAGUGGCAUACGGCAGUUUCUCAAAUAAUAUUGUUUAAUUCAA